GAUGAACGCUGGCGGCGUGCCUAAUACAUGCAAGUCGAGCGAACAGACGAGGAGCUUGCUCCUCUGACGUUAGCGGCGGACGGGUGAGUAACACGUGGAUAACCUACCUAUAAGACUGGGAUAACUUCGGGAAACCGGAGCUAAUACCGGAUAAUAUAUUGAACCGCAUGGUUCAAUAGUGAAAGACGGUUUUGCUGUCACUUAUAGAUGGAUCCGCGCCGCAUUAGCUAGUUGGUAAGGUAACGGCUUACCAAGGCAACGAUGCGUAGCCGACCUGAGAGGGUGAUCGGCCAGUCUGAAACUGAGACACGGUCCAGACUCCUACGGGAGGCAGCAGUAGGGAAUCUUCCGCAAUGGGCGAAAGCUUGACGAAGCAACGCCGCGUGAGUGAUGAAGGUCUUCGGAUCGUAAAACUCUGUUAUUAGGGAAGAACAAAUGUGUAAGUAACUAUGCACGUCUUGACGGUACCUAAUCAGAAAGCCACGGCUAACUACGUG
rnacentral:rRNA from 1 species